rnacentral:rRNA from 1 species
AAAGGGGGGGGCGGCUUACACAUGCAAGUCGAACGAUGAACCACUUCGGUGGGGAUUAGUGGCGAACGGGUGAGUAACACGUGGGCAAUCUGCCCUUCACUCUGGGACAAGCCCUGGAAACGGGGUCUAAUACCGGAUAUCACUCCUGCAGGCAUCUGCAGGGGUCGAAAGCUCCGGCGGUGAAGGAUGAGCCCGCGGCCUAUCAGCUUGUUGGUGAGGUAAUGGCUCACCAAGGCGACGACGGGUAGCCGGCCUGAGAGGGCGACCGGCCACACUGGGACUGAGACACGGCCCAGACUCCUACGGGAGGCAGCAGUGGGGAAUAUUGCACAAUGGGCGAAAGCCUGAUGCAGCGACGCCGCGUGAGGGAUGACGGCCUUCGGGUUGUAAACCUCUUUCAGCAGGGAAGAAGCGAAAGUGACGGUACCUGCAGAAGAAGCGCCGGCUAACUACGUGCCAGCAGCCGCGGUAAUACGUAGGGCGCAAGCGUUGUCCGGAAUUAUUGGGCGUAAAGAGCUCGUAGGCGGCUUGUCACGUCGGGUGUGAAAGCCCGGGGCUUAACCCCGGGUCUGCAUUCGAUACGGGCUAGCUAGAGUGUGGUAGGGGAGAUCGGAAUUCCUGGUGUAGCGGUGAAAUGCGCAGAUAUCAGGAGGAACACCGGUGGCGAAGGCGGAUCUCUGGGCCAUUACUGACGCUGAGGAGCGAAAGCGUGGGGAGCGAACAGGAUUAGAUACCCUGGUAGUCCACGCCGUAAACGGGUGGGGAACUAGGUGUUGGCGACAUUCCACGUCGUCGGUGCCGCAGCUAACGCAAUUAAGUUCCCCGCCCUGGGGAGUACGGCCGCAAGGCUAAAACUCAAAAGGAAUUUGACGGGGGCCCCGCACAAACAGCGGAGCAUGUGGCUUAAUUCGACGCACGCGAACAACCCUUACCAAGGCUUGACAUACACCGGAAACGUCUGGGAGACAGGCCCCCCCUUGUGGUCGGGGUACAGGGUGGUGCAUGGCCUGUCUUCGUCUCCGUG